rnacentral:rRNA from 1 species
CAGUCGCCGCGGUAAUACAGAGGGUGCAAGCGUUAAUCGGAAUUACUGGGCGUAAAGCGCGCGUAGGUGGUUCGCCAAGUUGGAUGUGAAAUCCCCGGGCUCAACCUGGGAACUGCAUCCAAAACUGGCGAGCUAGAGUAUGGUAGAGGGUGGUGGAAUUUCCUGUGUAGCGGUGAAAUGCGUAGAUAUAGGAAGGAACAUCAGUGGCGAAGGCGACCACCUGGACUGAUACUGACACUGAGGUGCGAAAGCGUGGGGAGCAAACAGGAUUAGAUACCCCGGUAGUCCCUGUCUCUUAUAC